rnacentral:rRNA from 1 species
AUUGAACGCUGGCGGCAUGCCUUACACAUGCAAGUCGAACGGCAGCACGGGUGCUUGCACCUGGUGGCGAGUGGCGAACGGGUGAGUAAUACAUCGGAACAUGUCCUGUAGUGGGGGAUAGCCCGGGGAAACCGGGUUUAAUACCGCAUAGGACCAACGAUUGAAAGCGGGGGACCUCAGGGCUUCGGCUUAUGGGGUGGUCGAUGGCUGAUUAGCUAGUUGGGGGGGUAAAGGCCUACCAAGGCGACGAUCAGUAGCUGGGCUGAGAGGACGACCAGCCACACUGGGACUGAGACACGGCCCAGACUCCUAAGGGAGGCAGCAGUGGGGAAUUUUGGACAAAGGGCGGAAGCCUGAUCCAGCAAUGCCGCGUGUGUGAAGAAGGCCUUCGGGUUGUAAAGCACUUUUGUCCGGAAAGAAAUCCUUGGCCCUAAUACGGUCGGGGGAUGACGGUACCGGAAGAAUAAGCACCGGCUAACUACGUG